rnacentral:tRNA from 20 species
GCGCCUAUAGCUCAGGGGAUAGAGCGCCGGUCUCCGGAACCGGGUGCGCAGGUUCGAUUCCUGCUAGGCGCACCA